rnacentral:rRNA from 1 species
UACAGAGGGGGCAAGCGUUGUUCGGAAUUACUGGGCGUAAAGGGCGCGUAGGCGGCCUGCUAAGUCGAACGUGAAAUCCCUGGGCUCAACCCAGGAACUGCGUCCGAUACUGGUUGGCUUGAAUCCGGGAGAGGGAUGUGGAAUUCCAGGUGUAGCGGUGAAAUGCGUAGAUAUCGGGAGGAACACCUGUGGCGAAGGCGGCCCCCUGGUUGGAUACUGACGCUGAUACGCGAAAGCGUGGGGAGCAAACAGG